rnacentral:rRNA from 1 species
AUACGUAGGGUGCAAGCGUUGUCCGGAUUUAUUGGGCGUAAAGGUCUCGUAGGCGGUCUGUCACGUCGGAUGUGAAAACUCGGAGCUCAACUCCGGGCCUGCAUCCGAUACGGGCAGACUAGAGUUCGGUAGGGGAGAUUGGAAUUCCUGGUGUAGCGGUGGAAUGCGCAGAUAUCAGGAGGAACACCGAUGGCGAAGGCAGAUCUCUGGGCCGAUACUGACGCUGAGGAGCGAAAGCGUGGGGAGCAAACAGGAUUAGAAACCCCAGUAGUCC